CGAAAGAAAAGAGUGGCGAACGGGUGAGUAACACGUGGGUAACCUGCCCAUCAGAAGGGGAUAACACUUGGAAACAGGUGCUAAUACCGUAUAACAAGUAAAACCGCAUGGUUUUACUUUGAAAGGCGCUUUUGCGUCACUGAUGGAUGGACCCGCGGUGCAUUAGCUAGUUGGUGAGGUAACGGCUCACCAAGGCAACGAUGCAUAGCCGACCUGAGAGGGUGAUCGGCCACAUUGGGACUGAGACACGGCCCAAACUCCUACGGGAGGCAGCAGUAGGGAAUCUUCGGCAAUGGACGAAAGUCUGACCGAGCAACGCCGCGUGAGUGAAGAAGGUUUUCGGAUCGUAAAACUCUGUUGUUAGAGAAGAACAAGGAUGAGAGUAAAAAGUUCAUCCCUUGACGGUAUCUAACCAGAAAGCCACGGCUAACUACGUGCCAGCAGCCGCGGUAAUACGUAGGUGGCAAGCGUUGUCCGGAUUUAUUGGGCGUAAAGCGAGCGCAGGCGGUUUCUUAAGUCUGAUGUGAAAGCCCCCGGCUCAACCGGGGAGGGUCAUUGGAAACUGGGAAACUUGAGUGCAGAAGAGGAGAGUGGAAUUCCAUGUGUAGCGGUGAAAUGCGUAGAUAUAUGGAGGAACACCAGUGGCGAAGGCGGCUCUCUGGUCUGUAACUGACGCUGAGGCUCGAAAGCGUGGGGAGCAAACAGGAUUAGAUACCCUGGUAGUCCACGCCGUAAACGAUGAGUGCUAAGUGUUGGAGGGUUUCCGCCCUUCAGUGCUGCAGCUAACGCAUUAAGCACUCCGCCUGGGGAGUACGACCGCAAGGUUGAAACUCAAAGGAAUUGACGGGGGCCCGCACAAGCGGUGGAGCAUGUGGUUUAAUUCGAAGCAACGCGAAGAACCUUACCAGGUCUUGACAUCCUUUGACCACUCUAGAGAUAGAGCUUCCCCUUCGGGGGCAAAGUGACAGGUGGUGCAUGGUUGUCGUCAGCUCGUGUCGUGAGAUGUUGGGUUAAGUCCCGCAACGAGCGCAACCCUUAUUGUUAGUUGCCAUCAUUUAGUUGGGCACUCUAGCGAGACUGCCGGUGACAAACCGGAGGAAGGUGGGGAUGACGUCAAAUCAUCAUGCCCCUUAUGACCUGGGCUACACACGUGCUACAAUGGGAAGUACAACGAGUCGCGAAGUCGCGAGGCUAAGCUAAUCUCUUAAAGCUUCUCUCAGUUCGGAUUGUAGGCUGCAACUCGCCUACAUGAAGCCGGAAUCGCUAGUAAUCGCGGAUCA
rnacentral:rRNA from 1 species